CCUACGGGAGGCAGCAGUGAGGAAUAUUGGUCAAUGGGCGGAAGCCUGAACCAGCCAAGUAGCGUGCAGGAUGACGGCCCUACGGGUUGUAAACUGCUUUUAUACGGGAAUAACGCGCGUUACGUGUAGGGCUUUGCAUGUACCGUAUGAAUAAGGAUCGGCUAAUUCCGUGCCAGCAGCCGCGGUAAUACGGAAGGUCCGGGCGUUAUCCGGAUUUAUUGGGUUUAAAGGGAGCGUAGGCCGGAUGUUAAGUGAGCUGUGAAAUGUCCGGGCUCAACCCGGGCCUUGCAGUGCAAACUGGCGGGCUUGAGUCGGCGGGAGGCAGGCGGAAUUCGUGGUGUAGCGGUGAAAUGCUUAGAUAUGACGAAGAACCCCGAUUGCGAAGGCAGCUUGCUGGAGCGGAACUGACGCUGAUGCUCGAAAGCGCGGGUAUCGAACAGGAUUAGAUACCCCUGUAGUC
rnacentral:rRNA from 1 species